rnacentral:misc_RNA from 1 species
AACGCACAUUGCGCCCCCUGGCAUUCCGGGGGGCACACCUGUCCGAGCGCCGUCGCAACACUAAGGCUCAGCCUUGCGUUGGCGGACCGGCCCCAUCCUUCGUCAAAGGGGGGGCCGGCCGCCCAAACUCCGACGGCGCCGCACCGCGGCCGACGAUGCGCAAACAGCAGACGUCCGGCGAGCGGGAGCGGCGGCCUUGUCUCUAUAUGAACAGCUUGGCCUCGGAUCAGGUGGGGAUACCCGCUGAACUUAA